rnacentral:rRNA from 1 species
UACGGAGGAUCCCGAGCGUUAUCCGGAUUUAUUGGGUUUAAAGGGUGCGUAGGCGGGUUAUUAAGUCAGUGGUGAAAGUUUGACGCUCAACGUUAAAAUUGCCAUUGAUACUGAUAGUCUUGAGUACAGUUGAGGUAGGCGGAAUGUGGUGUGUAGCGGUGAAAUGCAUAGAUAUCCCACAGAACACCGAUUGCGAAGGCAGCUUACUAAAGUGUCACUGACGCUGAUGCACGAAAGUGUGGGGAUCAAACAGGAUUAGAUACCCUUGUAGU